rnacentral:rRNA from 1 species
AGUCGGGUUGCUUGAAAGUGCAGCCCUAAGUAGGUGGUAAACUCCAUCUAAGGCUAAAUAUUCCCACGAGACCGAUAGCGAACAAGUACCGCGAGGGAAAGUUGAAAAGAACUUUGAAAAGAGAGUUCAAUAGAGCGUGAAACUACCACGAGGCUAAAGCGAGUGAGCGUACGUAUCCGAACGGUUUGAUUCAGUCCGCCCGAGCACGAUGAGCAGUGGGGGGUCGUAAUACGUCAUUAACGGAUCUCCCGAAAGGAUCCGAGCUAUACGCUCGGCCUCUAGGGUGACCGGCGUAUCUCCCGCUUUGCUCUGUAGGGGGACGCAUUUCCGGCCGAAGUAGGGCGUCGCGGCCGUUUCGGGGGUGUCUAAGACACGGGGGUCUCGGAAUCCGCAUCUUCUCGUCCCGGCGCGCUCUACCGCCCCUCCCCGGAGGAGCGGCAUCGCGCCGGGGUCGCGAGUCGAGCGGGGCCGCCUCGUUGAUCUGACGGUCUCCGAGACGGUGAAAUCACGUUUCAAGCGGGCCUGCGACGGGGGCUCGUC